rnacentral:rRNA from 1 species
UGCCAGCCGCCGCGGUAAUACGAAGGGUGCAAGCGUUAAUCGGAAUUACUGGGCGUAAAGCGCUCGUAGGCGGUUUGUUAAGUCGGAUGUGAAAGCCCCGGGCUCAACCUGGGAACUGCAUUCGAUACUGACAGACUAGAGUAUAGUAGAGGCAAGUGGAAUUCCGGGUGUAGCGGUGAAAUGCGUAGAUAUUCGGAGGAACACCAGUGGCGAAGGCGGCUUUCUGGACCAAUACUGACGCUGAGAUGCGAAAGCGUGGGGAGCGAACAGGAUUAGAUA